UUCUGGGAAGGGUAUUGAUGGUGUGUGAGCAGCUCCAGCUGAGAGGAGAACCUGUUCCAUUUGUCACUGCUCACACGGUGACUGACGGCUGACAACAGCCAAUUUCCAAAUUUACCUCCCAAAUCAUUAAUUCCUCCUUUUUUUUAUCACAGGAACGGUAGAACCUCUGUACCUCUGUUGGCUGGAGGAGUGUGGGUGUUUAUUUGAAGAGAUCUCAAUGUCCCCCCUCACUCCCAGCUGUUGUGCAGUAAAGCCACCAGGCAACAUCAAUCAACCCAUCCAGGCACUGCCAACCCUCCUGAACGAGAAGACAAAGCGAAAAUUGGAGAUCUGUGUGCUCAGACCGCAGGGCUGGGAAGACGGAGUUGUCUGCGUGUACGUUGGUGAGAAAUGGUGUGAAAAUUACAUGUCUCCCAGAGUCCAGCACAGCUGGGGAGCACCCAGGGGUAUGCACUGCCCUGGCUUUCUGCUAUUCUUGGCUCCCUUCAUCCCUCUGAAGUGGCAGAUGACCUCUUGAGAGGCUCCAUACGUGACACGAUCCAUGUGCUCCGCGAGAACUCCGUGUGGGAUUAAUGCGCCGUUCGCUCGGGGGAAAACCUCGGCGUCUCGGGGAGGCUGGAGCUCGGUGUCAUUCGGGGGAAUUCACCCCCUGAGUGGAGCACUCAGGAAUUUUGGAGCCUUGGGAAUGGCCUGUGUGUGUUCAGCUUGACCUUGGGCUGUAUUGUGAUAUUAUCCACAGCGGGUUGUGCAGGGAAUGCUGGAGGCGCUUCGGUGGGAUGGGAUAAGAGGAGUGAACAUUCUCUCUGGGACCCUCUUUGCUUUGCUGCUCUCCACCAGUGAUCCACCAGUGUGUGGGCACAGAGAUCCCCUCAAGAGGCUGCUUUAUAGCCCAGUGACUUCACUGAACUUGAUUUUUUGCUGUUUGCCUGAAAUGCCUGCUGACAUCACAGCUGAUCUGAAGACAGACUGCUCUGUGGCUUGGGAGAUGGAGGUGCAAGUCCCCCAACGAGUUCUGGACAAGCCACUUCAACCUCCCCCUGCCUUGGCUUUUUUACUUUUCUCAGAAAUGAAAUGUUUUGGUUUUAAGCAAAACUCCCUCUCCCCCGCCAUCAAAUGGUUUUUUCCCUCCAGAUUUUAUAUUUUAGAUGGAAAUUUUCUAAAAGUCAGGGUUUGGGUUGUUUUGUUUUCCUGGUUCCAGUUCCUGUUGGAGAACAUUUUUUUUUUUUUUUGUGGAAAACACAGCUUUUCCCAUAAAGUGUUCUGAACUCCACCAAAGGAAAGUGCAAUAUAAGAUCUAUUAUUCUUGUGGUGCCUUUGGGGUCAGGACACAUCCAUUGGUCACGUAGCCUUACCCAGGGUGCUCUCCUGGAACGGGAAUGCUGAUGGGAGACAAACCCUCAAGGACAUGGUUUGGGGUUUUU